rnacentral:rRNA from 1 species
AGCGAACGCUGGCGGCAGGCCUAACACAUGCAAGUCGAACGGAUCCUUCGGGAUUAGUGGCGGACGGGUGAGUAACACGUGGGAACGUGCCCUUUGGUUCGGAACAACUCAGGGAAACUUGAGCUAAUACCGGAUGUGCCCUUCGGGGGAAAGAUUUAUCGCCAUUGGAGCGGCCCGCGUGUGAUUAGCUAGUUGGUGAGGUAAAGGCACACCAAGGCGACGAUCAGUAGCUGGUCUGAGAGGAUGAUCAGCCACAUUGGGACUUAGACACGGCGCAAACUCCUACGGGAGGCAGCGGGGGUGAAUCUUGCGCAAUGGGCUAAAGCCUGGGGCAGCCAUGCCGCGUGAAUGAUGAAGGUCUUAGGAUUGUAAAAUGCUUUCACCGGGGACGAUAAUGACGGUACCCGGAGAAGGAGCCCCGGCUAACUACGUGCCAGCCGCCGCGGUAAAAC